UAGGAAGCAAAUAAGGGCGUAUGGGGAAUGCCUAGGCUCCUAUAGACGACGAAGGACGUGGUAAGCUGCGAUAAGCUACGGGGAGUUGCAAACGAACUUUGAUCCGUAGAUGUCCGAAUGGGAAAACCUAUAUAGUUGAAGACUAUAUAUCCUGCAGUAAUGCAGGAAGGGAACCCAGGGAACUGAAACAUCUAAGUACCUGGAGGAGGAGAAAACAAUUAGUGAUUUCGCAAGUAGUGGCGAGCGAACGCGAAACAGCCCAAACCGUGGAGUAUUUUUACUUUGCGGGGUUGUAGGACCUGUAUAAUUCUGUUAGAAGGAAGAAGAAUCAGUUUGGAAAACUGAACCAUAGGGGGUGAUAGUCCCGUAUUCGUAACUGAUAACAGAUGACGGGUAUCCUGAGUAGCACGGAGCCGGUGAAACUCUGUGUGAAUCUGCCAGCACCAUCUGGUAAGGCUAAAUACUAAUAGGAGACCGAUAGUGAACGAGUACCGUGAGGGAAAGGUGAAAAGAACCCCAAGCAGGGGAGUGAAAAGAACCUGAAACCAUACGCUUACAAGCGGUCGGAGUUCCGUUGUACAACGGGAUGACGGCGUGCCUUUUGCAUAAUGAGCCUACGAGUUACACCUUGCUAGCAAGUUUAAUUCCUUAAGGGAAGGAGGCGUAGCGAAAGCGAGUCUGAAUAGGGCGAUACAGCUAGGAGGGGUAGACGCGAAACCGAGUGAUCUACCCAUGGGCAGGCUGAAGCCUCGAUAGUAUCGAGGUGGAGGGCCGAACCAGUACAUGUUGAAAAAUGUUUGGAUGACCUGUGGGUAGGGGUGAAAGGCCAAUCAAACUCGGAGAUAGCUCGUACUCCCCGAAAUGCAUUUAGGUGCAGCGUCGGGCUAUGAGUGUCAUGGAGGUAGAGCUACCAAUAGGGCUAGGGGGCUUCACCGCCUACCAACCCCUGAUGAACUCCGAAUGCCAUGACAUACUUCCCGGCAGUGAGGCACUGGGUGCUAAGGUCCAGUGCCGAAAGGGAAACAACCCAGACCAUCUGCUAAGGUCCCUAAGUAUAAGUUAAGUUGAUCCAACGAUGUGAGAAUGCUAUGACAGCUAGGAUGUUGGCUUGGAAGCAGCCAUCCAUUUAAAGAGUGCGUAACAGCUCACUAGUCGAGCGUUCUUGCGCGGAAAAUAAUCGGGCAUCAAACUUAUCACCGAAGCAAUGGCUUCACGCCUCACGGCGUGAGGGGUAGGGGAGCAUUCUGCUCGCACCGAAGCAGUCCUGUAAGGGGCUGUGGAGCAAGUAGAAAAGAAAAUGUAGGCAUGAGUAACGAUAAACACCGUGAGAAACGGUGUCGCCGAAAGACUAAGGUUUCCUCGAUCUAUGCUAAUCAGAUCAGGGUUAGUCGGGACCUAAGACAAACCCGAAAGGGGUAGUCGAUGGAAAACGGGUUAAUAUUCCCGUACCAGUCUAUACUGCUUGGAACGGACGAAGGUGUGUAACGCUCGCGUACUGACGGAAUAGUACGUUGAAUUCCGGGUAACUGGAAGAUAGUACACCAAUCCGCUUGCGGAAAGGUGAUAGUA
rnacentral:rRNA from 1 species